AUGCAGAGAGACAACAGGGAUUGCCCUAGUAACGGCGAGUGAAGCGGCAACAGCUCAAAUUUGAAAUCUGGCUCUCGGGCCCGAGUUGUAAUUUGUAGAGGAUACUUUUGAUGCGGUGCCUUCCGAGUUCCCUGGAACGGGACGCCAUAGAGGGUGAGAGCCCCGUCUGGUUGGAUGCCAAAUCUCUGUAAAGUUCCUUCAACGAGUCGAGUAGUUUGGGAAUGCUGCUCUAAAUGGGAGGUAUAUGUCUUCUAAAGCUAAAUACCGGCCAGAGACCGAUAGCGCACAAGUAGAGUGAUCGAAAGAUGAAAAGCACUUUGAAAAGAGAGUUAAAAAGUACGUGAAAUUGUUGAAAGGGAAGCGUUUAUGACCAGACUUGGGCUUGGUUAAUCAUCUGGGGUUCUCCCCAGUGCACUUUUCCAGUCCAGGCCAGCAUCAGUUUUCCCCGGGGGAUAAAGGCGGCGGGAAUGUGGCUCUCUUCGGGGAGUGUUAUAGCCCGUCGUGUAAUACCCUGGGGGGGACUGAGGUUCGCGCAUCUGCAAGGAUGCUGGCGUAAUGGUCAUCAACGACCCGUCUUGAAACACGGACCAAGGAGUCGUCUUCGUAUGCGAGUGUUCGGGUGUCAAACCCCUACGCGUAAUGAAAGUGAACGCAGGUGAGAGCUUCGGCGCAUCAUCGACCGAUCCUGAUGUUCUCGGAUGGAUUUGAGUAAGAGCAUACGGGGCCGGACCCGAAAGAAGGUGAACUAUGCCUGUAUAGGGUGAAGCCAGAGGAAACUCUGGUGGAGGCUCGCAGCGGUUCUGACGUGCAAAUCGAUCGUCAAAUAUGGGCAUGGGGGCGAAAGACUAAUCGAACCUUCUAGUAGCUGGAUUCCGCCG
rnacentral:ncRNA from 1 species